GAACGGAGAAUCAGCAAUGAUUCUUAGUGGCGAACGGGUGAGUAACGCGUAGACAACCUGCCUCAAAGAUGGGGACAACACCGCGAAAGUGGUGCUAAUACCGAAUGUUGCAUUAGAUUCGCAUGAAUCUGAUACUAAAGGUGGCCUCUUUAAAUGCUACCGCUUUGAGAUGGGUCUGCGUCUGAUUAGCUAGUUGGUGAGGUAACAGCUCACCAAGGCGAUGAUCAGUAGCCGGUCUGAGAGGAUGAACGGCCACACUGGGACUGAGACACGGCCCAGACUCCUACGGGAGGCAGCAGUGGGGAAUCUUCCGCAAUGGACGAAAGUCUGACGGAGCAACGCCGCGUGAGUGAAGAAGGUUUUCGGAUCGUAAAGCUCUGUCUUUGAGGACGAAUGUGCUUAAUGUGAAUAAUGUUAAGUAAUGACGGUACUCGAGGAGGAAGCCACGGCUAACUACGUGCCAGCAGCCGCGGUAAUACGUAGGUGGCAAGCGUUGUCCGGAAUUAUUGGGCGUAAAGCGCGCGCAGGCGGGAUAUUAAGUCUGUCUUAAAAGUUCGGGGCUCAACCCCGUGAUGGGAUGGAAACUAAUAUUCUUGAGUGCAGGAGAGGAAAGUGGAAUUCCCAGUGUAGCGGUGAAAUGCGUAGAUAUUGGGAGGAACACCAGUGGCGAAGGCGACUUUCUGGACUGUGUCUGACGCUGAGGCGCGAAAGCCAGGGGAGUGAACGGGAUUAGAUACCCCGGUAAUCCUGGCCGUAAACGAUGGGUACUAGGUGUAGGAGGUAUCGACCCCUUCUGUGCCGGAGUUAAC
rnacentral:rRNA from 1 species